AUUGAACGCUGGCGGCAGGCUUAACACAUGCAAGUCGAGCGGAGCGAGGGUGCUUGCACCUUAGCUUAGCGGCGGACGGGUGAGUAAUGCUUAGGAAUCUGCCUAUUAGUGGGGGACAACAUUCCGAAAGGAAUGCUAAUACCGCAUACGCCCUACGGGGGAAAGCAGGGGAUCUUCGGACCUUGCGCUAAUAGAUGAGCCUAAGUCGGAUUAGCUAGUUGGUGGGGUAAAGGCCUACCAAGGCGACGAUCUGUAGCGGGUCUGAGAGGAUGAUCCGCCACACUGGGACUGAGACACGGCCCAGACUCCUACGGGAGGCAGCAGUGGGGAAUAUUGGACAAUGGGCGGAAGCCUGAUCCAGCCAUGCCGCGUGUGUGAAGAAGGCCUUUUGGUUGUAAAGCACUUUAAGCGAGGAGGAGGCUCUUAAGGUUAAUACCCUUGAUGAGUGGACGUUACUCGCAGAAUAAGCACCGGCUAACUCUGUGCCAGCAGCCGCGGUAAAAC
rnacentral:rRNA from 1 species